rnacentral:rRNA from 1 species
GACGAACGCUGGCGGCGUGCUUAACACAUGCAAGUCGAGCGAGGCCCCUCCUUCGGGAGGGUGUCCUAGCGGCGAACGGGUGAGUAACACGUGGGCAACCUGCCCUCAGCUCUGGGAUAACUCCGGGAAACCGGGGCUAAUACCGGAUACGACCUCCACGGGCAUCUGCGGAGGUGGAAAGUUUUUCGGCUGAGGAUGGGCCCGCGGCCUAUCAGCUAGUUGGUGGGGUAGUGGCCCACCAAGGCGGCGACGGGUAGCCCGCCUGAGAGGGCGACCGGGCACCCUGCUCCUGCGACAGGCAGCAGUCUCCUACGGGCGGCAGUGGUCGGGAGUAUUGCGCAGUGGGGCCGCGCCUGUGGCGGCGGCGCCGCGUUAGGGAAGCACGCCUUCGGGGUGAGAACCUCUUUCAGCGGGGACGAGGCGAAAGUGACGGUACCUGCAGAAGAAGCACCGGCCAACUACGUG